GCCUCAGAUCUGGCUCACGAGAGCCGAUGGCCAAACUUUCCACAAGUUGCAAGCUGGUUGUAAAAACACAGCCUUUAUUUAAAAAAAUUAUGCGCACUUGUAAUUAAGUAAAUCGCAAUUAAGUAAAUUAUAAUUGAUUGCGAUUUGGUAAAUCACAUUAGAAGCAAAGAUUAAAAACACUCAAAUACUUAUUUUUGAGUAUUUGCUCUAUGACCCGUUCUAUUGAAGCGAUCUCCAUCUACUGCUUUUGUUUUCCAGAAAUUCUAAAGAGUGUAGAGGGGAAGAUAUACCACACAGACCUCCCCAGUUCCUCAUCCAGUGAUAUUGCUGAUCAGUAGCUUGAAUUAGGUCAUGACAGAAGUAUUGACUGCACAGAAAUUAGCAAUGCCAUAAAUCAGUGCUUGCUACACCUUUACCAGCACAGCAUUGGGAGUAUCCACUUUCUGACUUGGGCAUCUAGACAGGACCCUGAAAAUGGAGAAUGGUUGUUAUAGCACAUGUUCCGGGAUAACAAACCAACAUACACCAAGCAAUGAGCCAUGGUGUGAAGGACGCUUACUAGCAGCCUAAUCAGGCUGUGCAAUUGAGACAAAAACUGGAGUUUGAGGAAGUAGGAUGUCAAUGCAACUGAGAAGAGCUGAGAACCAGGAUCUGAAGAUCGUUCGCUUCCGCUGCGGAAAUGUUGCCUGAGCAGUUUCCUCUGUGGACGGGGACUUGCAAGGUGGGCACCCGUGAAGGAGAGCCAUUGCUGAUCACCACGGCUAAGCCAGAAGAAGCUGAAGGAAACAUUAGGAACUGGGUUACUUUUUCUGUAAAUGUGAUAACUGAACCCUAGGUAGAUAGGGUUGUGAGGAGAGUCAUAUGUGAAUCCAUGAAAACCCCAAGUGAGCUAAUUUAACCAAAAGGGGCUUAUUUUCCUCACCCAGGCAGAGGUCUGGAGGACGUGCCUGCACAUAGCAUCCAUUCUCCAAGCUCUGUGGAUCUUUUCAUGUCACUCUCCUUUUGAAGAUUGGUUUCGUGUGUGACACAUCACUUCAGGUUGUAUGACGACUGUCUCAUCCCUAUCGUCACAUCUGUGUUCCAAACAGGUUGAAGUGUGAGGAAGGAGUGUUAUCUACAUCAGGAAACAAAGACCUUUCUAGAAAUCCCCAA